AAAAAAAAGAAAGAAAGAAAGAGAGAGAGAGAGAGAGAGAGAGAGGAAGGAGAGAGGAAGGAAGAAGGAAGGAGGAAGGAAGAAGGAAGGAAGGAAGGAAAGAAGGAAGGAAGGAAGGAAGCAAGCAAGCAAGCAAGCAAGCAAGCAAGCAAGCAAGCAAGCAAGCCAGCCAGCCGAGUGAGCCCUAAAGAGCAGGCCAGUAAGCAGCUCUCCUCCUUGGCCUUUACUUCAGUUCCUGCCUGUAGGUUCCUGCCUCCAGUUCCUGUUCUGACUUGCCUUCAUAAUGGAUUAUAAAAUGAAAUCUCACCCUGUAGACCAGGCUGGCCUCGAACUCAGAAAUCCACCUGUCUCUGCUCUUCCAAAGUGCCCAGCAAGAGAAUAAAUGUAUUUUAAGUGCAGCCUAUAACUU
rnacentral:lncRNA from 1 species